rnacentral:rRNA from 1 species
UACGUAGGGUGCGAGCGUUAAUCGGAAUUACUGGGCGUAAAGCGUGCGCAGGCGGUUUUGUAAGACAGACGUGAAAUCCCCGGGCUUAACCUGGGAACUGCGUUUGUGACUGCAAGGCUAGAGUAUGGCAGAGGGGGGUAGAAUUCCACGUGUAGCAGUGAAAUGCGUAGAGAUGUGGAGGAAUACCGAUGGCGAAGGCAGCCCCCUGGGUCAAUACUGACGCUCAUGCACGAAAGCGUGGGGAGCAAACAGG